rnacentral:rRNA from 1 species
AAGGGCACACGGGGGAUGCCUAGGCUCUCAGAGGCGAAGAAGGACGUGAUAAGCUGCGAUAAGCUGCGGGGAUUGGCAAAUGCGACGUGAUCCGUAGAUUUCCGAAUGGGGCAACCUGGCUAUUUGAAGAAUAGCCGUAUAAAACGCGA